AGUGAACGCUGGCGGUAGGCCUGACACAUGCAAGUCGAACGGCAGCACAGAGGAGCUUGCUCCUUGGGUGGCGAGUGGCGGACGGGUGAGGAAUACAUCGGAAUCUACUCUGUCGUGGGGGAUAACGUAGGGAAACUUACGCUAAUACCGCAUACGACCUACGGGUGAAAGCAGGGGAUCUUCGGACCUUGCGCGAUUGAAUGAGCCGAUGUCGGAUUAGCUAGUUGGCGGGGUAAAGGCCCACCAAGGCGACGAUCCGUAGCUGGUCUGAGAGGAUGAUCAGCCACACUGGAACUGAGACACGGUCCAGACUCCUACGGGAGGCAGCAGUGGGGAAUAUUGGACAAUGGGCGCAAGCCUGAUCCAGCCAUACCGCGUGGGUGAAGAAGGCCUUCGGGUUGUAAAGCCCUUUUGUUGGGAAAGAAAUCCAUCUGGUUAAUACCCGGGUGGGAUGACGGUACCCAAAGAAUAAGCACCGGCUAACUUCGUGCCAGCAGCCGCGGUAA
rnacentral:rRNA from 1 species